CCAACACUAAAAAAAGAAACAAGUUAGGACUCAGUAUUAUAAUAUUAUGAUCAUGGAGGUCUUUAAUUAUUAUAUCAAAGUCCUGUUUAAAGGGCUUGAAUAAGAAUGUUUUACAUGUAGUGUAUCAAUUUUCUUGUCUACAGAUCUUAUACAAUUCUGUUAUUAUGAUACAUUUUGUAUUUAUUUUGUCAUAUAUCCACAAAAAUGGGCUAGGUAAGUACUCUCAACUUAUAUAAAUUUGUUUUAUUUAUUGAUUUUUUACAUUUCUCAUGCCAAUAGUAUGAAGUACCUUCUGCAGGAUGAAAAGGAACAAAUUUUAAUCAAGAGUUGGCAGCAGAAAGCAGGAAUAAAAAGGACCCAAUAUGCUGAACAAUGAAUGAAUGUUGUCUCACCAAUGCCUGCUUGAGAGGUAAUCCAUGUUAGCCGGAGAAAGAGGAUGACACCCCAGAUAUUCAGCAUGCAACGCAUCUAUGAUAAAAAGAAAAGAAAAAAAAUGUCUUUUUUGUUUUGUUUUAAUUGUUCCUUUUUUUAGUUAGUCUUCUAUCCAUUUGUAUGUUGUAGACUUAAAUACACAAAAGCUUUGUUCACCCAGACUGCAAUAAACCAGCCAAAUCUAGUAGGCGGUUUCCCUGGAGGACCUUGGGGUUCUUCAUUUUCAUCCUCUGCGGCGGCAUCAUCUGCGGCAGCCUUUUCUGCUU